UAAUUUAAAUCGCGUGACGCGUCAGAACAACGCAGAGUUAACGGUUUCUGAUGCUGCGGCGGAGUUUAACGACAGAAAUCGUCUCUGUCUCUCUCAAACAUUGAUUUGCUCAUUAAAUUAGUCUUUCUUUGACGAUUUGACACAGAUUCAAAGGCAGCAGUUUUUCUUAUUUUCACUUUUGAAGUAAGUUAGGUCUUCUAGUCAUUUCCUUCAACGGAGCGCGGUCUUCUCUCUGAGGAAAAUGUAGGCCCUAGCGUUACCCGUGCCUCUGAAGAGCAUCUCAGUGGAGGUUCUGGUUCAGGAUCAUGUAGCCACAGUCUCCUCCACUCUGCAGUAUGUGAAUGAGGAAGAGCGCCCCCUGGAGGCCUUGUUCGUCCUCCCUCUGCCUGCUGAUGCUGCUGUCUGCCACUUCAGUGCCAAGAUCGGAGAGCCGAAAUGUUGGCUAUCAUGAAAACUGUUCAUCUUCACUGAUGGAGAGGUGGGAAACACUAAAGAGGUGCUGGAUCUGGUGAAAAGUCACGCUCACUCUCACAGGUGUUUCUCAUUCGGGAUUGGUGAGGGUGCGAGUGCCGCCCUCAUCACAGGAAUGGCCAGGGAGGGAUCUGGUCACGCUCAGUUCAUCACAGACAGCGACCGUAUGCAGCCCAAAGUGAUGCAGUCGCUCAGGUUUGCGCUGCAGCCCGCUGUGGUUAAUAUCUCUGUGGAUUGGAUCCUUCCAGACGGUGUUACUGUUGACACACUGUCUCCACCCAUCAGUGUGCUCUUCCAGGGUCAAAGGACACUCAUUUAUGCCCAACUUAAAGGAGAGAGUUCAGGAGGCUCUGAGGGAACAGUGUCAGUCAAAUACAGUCUUAAAGAUCAACCAGUAACAAACCAGCUCCACUUCUGCCUCAAACCAACUGAAGAAACAGGGUUGUCCAUUCACCGGCUGGCGGCUCGGACCCUGAUCCGUUCUCUGGAGCAGGAGGAGAGGUCCGGUGCUGCAGGUGUUGAGGGCAUCAGGAGCAGGAUUGUGGAGCUCAGUGUUCAGGCAGGAGUGAGCAGUGUUCAUACAGCCUUCAUUGCUGUGAAUAAAGACAGCAGACAGACUGUGAAAGGACCCCUGCUGCAGAGAAGAGUGCCGACAUACGAUUCGUAUGAGGCAUGUUGCCUGAUGGAAGCAUUGCCUCUGAAGAGCAUCUCAGUGGAGGUUCUGGUUCAGGAUCAUGUAGCCACAGUCUCCUCCACUCUGCAGUAUGUGAAUGAGGAAGAGCGCCCCCUGGAGGCCUUGUUCGUCCUCCCUCUGCCUGCUGAUGCUGCUGUCUGCCACUUCAGUGCCAAGAUCGGAGAGCAGGAGAUUGUGGCAGAGGUGCAGGACAGAGAAACCCCUGAUCAUCCAAACCCCCUUCUGAAAGAGAUCGCCCUCACCAUCCUGGCGAACAAAGGUCACAGAGUGCCAGAGAUCAUCAGGCUGCUGGACUGGACGGACCACCCUGACCACUUUGUCAUGGUCCUGGAAUGUCCCUCUCCCUGUGAGAAUCUGGUGGAGUUCAUCAGGCGUCACGGUGGAAGCGUUGAUGAAGAAACAACAUAGAAGAUCAUGUGGCAGGCGGCUCACGCUUCACACAUGUGCUGCCUCUGCAGAGUGUUCCACCGUGACGUCAAACUGGAGAACCUUCUGAUAAACAGGGAGACAUCCGAAGUCAAGCUGAUUGACUUCACACAAACUCCGCUCUCCUCCAGGCACAGCAGCGUACUCCCCUCCAGAGUACUACAGCAGGGGAGAGUACGAUGGCUGGCCGGCGACGGUCUGGUCACUAGGGAUAGUGAUGUUCACAUUGUUGACGCAUAGUGACUAUGACCUGUUCCUGCUGCAGUACAAGCAGUGGUCCAAACCCGGCCUGUCAAAAGAAUGCUGUGACCUCCUCGGGGUUCUCCUCCAUGUGAAGCCAAUCCGGAGACUUGGUCUGGAGUAAAUCAUGUCCCACAACUGGUUUAAGGUCGUCUUAUAGGACCACUCCAGUUGGCGUCUCUCAUGCAGCUUUGCGUCUUGCGGGCUGCAGUGGGAGACGCUUCCAUCCCUUCUCUCGCCUUUGCGUCUUACGGGGCGAGCAAGCCUUGUGUAGCGUCUUGCGCCUUGGCUUGAGGAAGCAGUAUUUGCAUCUGGUGGUACUGCUUCCGGAGGGAUGUGUACAUAUUGUAUGUACAUACUUCUCUUGGUUGCCCCUUUUUGUUUGUCCCAUCAUGGCCACUCCAUUCCUGAGGAUCCUGCCUCCGCUGUCCAAAUACCAGAGCUCUCAGUCUUCAUCUCUACAAUGAAGAGCUCCCAUUCUCUGUCAUCAAGCAAGCCACAGCUACUAAAGAGAUUCCUGCCAGUUCAGAGGUUCUUGUCAUGGCUGUCCAGAGAUCUCUCUCUCUCUCAAAACCAUCUGUCCUGGUCAUGGCUCGCCCAAUGAUUCACAGACCCAAGACCAUCUCAGUCCCAGAGAUACCACUCUGAGCGACCUUGGUCUCCAGGCUCGCUGCCGUGUCUGUCCAGACCCAAGGGCUCAGGGCUCAAAUGCUAGAAAUCGUCUGUCCCAGCUCUACAAGCUCUAAAUCUGAAAUAAAGAACAAAACUUGAAAUUAAGGUUUUCAUUUAGUCAUUUAGCAGAGGCUUCAAUCCAAAGCAGUUCACAAAUGGGGAACAUCACAAACUAUUUAUCAUAAAAAUCUCAACAAUACUCACAGAACCACAAUGCCAAAUUUCAGUCUGAGGUAAGUAGAAGCUAGAAGAGAAAAUACAGCUAAGUAGAAAAGAGAAACUGUUUUAAUUGAACUUAUUUACAGGAAGUGCCUUUUGACUUCGUACCUCAUUGAGAUUGAACCCCCAGAUGCUGCUCACUCAUGAACCAUCACGGAAUAGAGAGAAUAUGAUAUGAAAUAUCACAAAGUUGUAUUCCUUUAAAUAUAUUCAUAUGUAAAACCCUUAAAAGAUGGUAAGACAAAGACGUUCUUCUUUAUUGAUUUGUCCUGGUUAUAUCAAUAGCUGUUGUAGAAGCCCAUUUUAAUUUUAAAAGCUAGCAUACUUUAUCGAAAUGAAGUGUGUUGAAAUGAAAUGUAGGAACAUCAUGAUAAGAAAUUCAAACACUGUAAGUGAAACAUAUGGCUUCAGAAGAAGCUUUA